ACAUGCAAGUCGAGGGGCAGCAUGCUUUUAGCUUGCUAAGGCCGAUGGCGACCGGCGCACGGGUGAGUAACACGUAUCCAACCUGCCGUCUACUCUUGGACAGCCUUCUGAAAGGAAGAUUAAUACAAGAUGGCAUCAUGAGUCCGCAUGUUCACAUGAUUAAAGGUAUUCCGGUAGACGAUGGGGAUGCGUUCCAUUAGAUAGUAGGCGGGGUAACGGCCCACCUAGUCUUCGAUGGAUAGGGGUUCUGAGAGGAAGGUCCCCCACAUUGGAACUGAGACACGGUCCAAACUCCUACGGGAGGCAGCAGUGAGGAAUAUUGGUCAAUGGGCGAGAGCCUGAACCAGCCAAGUAGCGUGAAGGAUGACUGCCCUAUGGGUUGUAAACUUCUUUUAUAAAGGAAUAAAGUCGGGUAUGCAUACCCGUUUGCAUGUAUUUUAUGAAUAAGGAUCGGCUAACUCCGUGCCAGCAGCCGCGGUAAUACGGAGGAUCCGAGCGUUAUCCGGAUUUAUUGGGUUUAAAGGGAGCGUAGAUGGAUGUUUAAGUCAGUUGUGAAAGUUUGCGGCUCAACCGUAAAAUUGCAGUUGAUACUGGAUAUCUUGAGUGCAGUUGAGGCAGGCGGAAUUCGUGGUGUAGCGGUGAAAUGCUUAGAUAUCACGAAGAACUCCGAUUGCGAAGGCAGCCUGCUAAGCUGCAACUGACAUUGAGGCUCGAAAGUGUGGGUAUCAAACAGGAUUAGAUACCCUGGUAGUCCACACGGUAAACGAUGAAUACUCGCUGUUUGCGAUAUACAGCAAGCGGCCAAGCGAAAGCGUUAAGUAUUCCACCUGGGGAGUACGCCGGCAACGGUGAAACUCAAAGGAAUUGACGGGGGCCCGCACAAGCGGAGGAACAUGUGGUUUAAUUCGAUGAUACGCGAGGAACCUUACCCGGGCUUAAAUUGCAGAUGAAUUACGGUGAAAGCCGUAAGCCGCAAGGCAUCUGUGAAGGUGCUGCAUGGUUGUCGUCAGCUCGUGCCGUGAGGUGUCGGCUUAAGUGCCAUAACGAGCGCAACCCUUGUUGUCAGUUACUAACAGGUUCCGCUGAGGACUCUGACAAGACUGCCAUCGUAAGAUGUGAGGAAGGUGGGGAUGACGUCAAAUCAGCACGGCCCUUACGUCCGGGGCUACACACGUGUUACAAUGGGGGGUACAGAGGGCCGCUACCACGCGAGUGGAUGCCAAUCCCAAAAACCUCUCUCAGUUCGGACUGGAGUCUGCAACCCGACUCCACGAAGCUGGAUUCGCUAGUAAUCGCGCAUCAGCCACGGCGCGGUGAAUACGUUCCCGGGCCUUGUACACACCGCCCGUCAAGCCAUGGGAGCCGGGGGUACCUGAAGUGCGUAACCGAGAGGAGCGCCCUAGGGUAAAACUGGUGACUGGGGCUC
rnacentral:rRNA from 1 species